UAAGAUUCGGCGCCAGUGGGUCCAUAGGAGCGACCCAUUCAGGAGCAUUCUCAUCAGCCUGCCGAGGCAGAGGUGUCUUCUCAUGAGACUACCGAGGCGCAGCAUCUCGUCUAGGAGACUACCUCAUAUUCACCACCAGACCUAUCUCAGGAGCCUACAGACCCAUCUCAGGAGCCUACUCAGGCGCUCGUUGACACACAGGUUCAUCCUUCGGCGCCUGCGGUGGCGACUCUCGACGAGGAAGAGGUCGAGUUUUCAGACCCAGGUCAGCAUGAGGUUCUGCCCGUGCUAGCGGGACCAGAUCUCAAGAAGAAGCACAUUCUAGUCAAGGACGCACGGGCCAGGGGAAGAGGAGAUGAUCAUGACUUGGAGCGCCCGGUUAUUAAGAGGAAAAAGGGCGAUGGAAGCGAUGGCGAGGGC